rnacentral:rRNA from 1 species
UGCGUAGGCGGGAGAUUAAGUCAGUGGUGAAAUCCUGCAGCUUAACUGUAGAACUGCCAUUGAUACUGGUUUCCCUGAGUAUAGUUGAAGUGGGCGGAAUGUGUAUUGUAGCGGUGAAAUGCUUAGAUAUUACACAGAACACCUAUUGCGAAGGCAGCUCACUAAACUAAUACUGACGCUGAGGCACGAAAGCGUGGGGAGCAAACAGGAUUAGAUACCCUGGUAGUC